AGCGUACACGGUGGAUGCCCUGGCAGUCAGAGGCGAUGAAGGACGUGCUAAUCUGCGAUAAGCGUCGGUAAGGUGAUAUGAACCGUUAUAACCGGCGAUUUCCGAAUGGGGAAACCCAGUGUGAUUCGUCACACUAUCAUUAACUGAAUCCAUAGGUUAAUGAGGCGAACCGGGGGAACUGAAACAUCUAAGUACCCCGAGGAAAAGAAAUCAACCGAGAUUCCCCCAGUAGCGGCGAGCGAACGGGGAGCAGCCCAGAGCCUGAAUCAGUGUGUGUGUUAGUGGAAGCGUCUGGAAAGGCGCGCGAUACAGGGUGACAGCCCCGUACACAAAAAUGCACAUACUGUGAGCUCGAUGAGUAGGGCGGGACACGUGGUAUCCUGUCUGAAUAUGGGGGGACCAUCCUCCAAGGCUAAAUACUCCUGACUGACCGAUAGUGAACCAGUACCGUGAGGGAAAGGCGAAAAGAACCCCGGCGAGGGGAGUGAAAAAGAACCUGAAACCGUGUACGUACAAGCAGUGGGAGCACGCUUAGGCGUGUGACUGCGUACCUUUUGUAUAAUGGGUCAGCGACUUAUAUUCUGUAGCAAGGUUAACCGAAUAGGGGAGCCGAAGGGAAACCGAGUCUUAACUGGGCGUUAAGUUGCAGGGUAUAGACCCGAAACCCGGUGAUCUAGCCAUGGGCAGGUUGAAGGUUGGGUAACACUAACUGGAGGACCGAACCGACUAAUGUUGAAAAAUUAGCGGAUGACUUGUGGCUGGGGGUGAAAGGCCAAUCAAACCGGGAGAUAGCUGGUUCUCCCCGAAAGCUAUUUAGGUAGCGCCUCGUGAAUUCAUCUCCGGGGGUAGAGCACUGUUUCGGCAAGGGGGUCAUCCCGACUUACCAACCCGAUGCAAACUGCGAAUACCGGAGAAUGUUAUCACGGGAGACACACGGCGGGUGCUAACGUCCGUCGUGAAGAGGGAAACAACCCAGACCGCCAGCUAAGGUCCCAAAGUCAUGGUUAAGUGGGAAACGAUGUGGGAAGGCCCAGACAGCCAGGAUGUUGGCUUAGAAGCAGCCAUCAUUUAAAGAAAGCGUAAUAGCUCACUGGUCGAGUCGGCCUGCGCGGAAGAUGUAACGGGGCUAAACCAUGCACCGAAGCUGCGGCAGCGACGCUGAUGCGUUGUUGGGUAGGGGAGCGUUCUGUAAGCCUGCGAAGGUGUGCUGUGAGGCAUGCUGGAGGUAUCAGAAGUGCGAAUGCUGACAUAAGUAACGAUAAAGCGGGUGAAAAGCCCGCUCGCCGGAAGACCAAGGGUUCCUGUCCAACGUUAAUCGGGGCAGGGUGAGUCGACCCCUAAGGCGAGGCCGAAAGGCGUAGUCGAUGGGAAACAGGUUAAUAUUCCUGUACUUGGUGUUACUGCGAAGGGGGGACGGAGAAGGCUAUGUUGGCCGGGCGACGGUUGUCCCGGUUUAAGCGUGUAGGCUGGUUUUCCAGGCAAAUCCGGAAAAUCAAGGCUGAGGCGUGAUGACGAGGCACUACGGUGCUGAAGCAACAAAUGCCCUGCUUCCAGGAAAAGCCUCUAAGCAUCAGGUAACAUCAAAUCGUACCCCAAACCGACACAGGUGGUCAGGUAGAGAAUACCAAGGCGCUUGAGAGAACUCGGGUGAAGGAACUAGGCAAAAUGGUGCCGUAACUUCGGGAGAAGGCACGCUGAUAUGUAGGUGAAGUCCCUCGCGGAUGGAGCUGAAAUCAGUCGAAGAUACCAGCUGGCUGCAACUGUUUAUUAAAAACACAGCACUGUGCAAACACGAAAGUGGACGUAUACGGUGUGACGCCUGCCCGGUGCCGGAAGGUUAAUUGAUGGGGUUAGCGCAAGCGAAGCUCUUGAUCGAAGCCCCGGUAAACGGCGGCCGUAACUAUAACGGUCCUAAGGUAGCGAAAUUCCUUGUCGGGUAAGUUCCGACCUGCACGAAUGGCGUAAUGAUGGCCAGGCUGUCUCCACCCGAGACUCAGUGAAAUUGAACUCGCUGUGAAGAUGCAGUGUACCCGCGGCAAGACGGAAAGACCCCGUGAACCUUUACUAUAGCUUGACACUGAACAUUGAGCCUUGAUGUGUAGGAUAGGUGGGAGGCUUUGAAGUGUGGACGCCAGUCUGCAUGGAGCCGACCUUGAAAUACCACCCUUUAAUGUUUGAUGUUCUAACGUGGACCCGUAAUCCGGGUUGCGGACAGUGUCUGGUGGGUAGUUUGACUGGGGCGGUCUCCUCCUAAAGAGUAACGGAGGAGCACGAAGGUUGGCUAAUCCUGGUCGGACAUCAGGAGGUUAGUGCAAUGGCAUAAGCCAGCUUGACUGCGAGCGUGACGGCGCGAGCAGGUGCGAAAGCAGGUCAUAGUGAUCCGGUGGUUCUGAAUGGAAGGGCCAUCGCUCAACGGAUAAAAGGUACUCCGGGGAUAACAGGCUGAUACCGCCCAAGAGUUCAUAUCGACGGCGGUGUUUGGCACCUCGAUGUCGGCUCAUCACAUCCUGGGGCUGAAGUAGGUCCCAAGGGUAUGGCUGUUCGCCAUUUAAAGUGGUACGCGAGCUGGGUUUAGAACGUCGUGAGACAGUUCGGUCCCUAUCUGCCGUGGGCGCUGGAGAACUGAGGGGGGCUGCUCCUAGUACGAGAGGACCGGAGUGGACGCAUCACUGGUGUUCGGGUUGUCAUGCCAAUGGCACUGCCCGGUAGCUAAAUGCGGAAGAGAUAAGUGCUGAAAGCAUCUAAGCACGAAACUUGCCCCGAGAUGAGUUCUCCCUGACUCCUUGA
rnacentral:rRNA from 1 species